AUGUGGAGUGAGCUGCUUAUUCCUGACCUAAAUGAAGUGAUGUAAUGAAUUCUGAAGAUGAACUCUUAGAGGAAGAUAAAGAUCAGAUAAUUAGAAAAACAAACCUCAGGUUUCUUUCCAAAUGGGCCAGAAAAAUGAAAGAGAGGUAAAUGUCAAUGCAUAUACAGAGUACACUUCUGAAAUUUCCUUAAAUAUGUAGAAUAAAUUUCAAGAAUUGCAUUAAAAACAUUCCAAACAUAAAACCUCAAGACUGAGCGGGGAGAAGAAAAUACUCAAAAAGAUAAAUUAAAGAAUAAAGAGGCAGCUCAUAGGGAAUGAUCAUUAAAUAAAGCCCAAUGGAAGGAGCUUAUUCAAUUUUGGCAUCAGUGAUGGGUUUGAAGAAAUAGAAAAAAGAAAAAAAAAUGAGUAAGUCAGGCCUUUGAGAGAAAAGCACAGAACAGUGUGUGGAGAGACGGAAUAUGAAGAAUAUUGAAGACUUUAGCAAGUAGCUUGGUGUCAAAAAUGUCAAAGCUGCUGCCUGCUACAACUUUGCGAAAGCCAAAAAGGAGGCUGCAAAUUCAUGAGUUACUCAGAAAAAGAAGAAACUUCCAUGGGGGGUUAAUGCAAAGAAUAGAUGGGAAACCAAAAACAACAUGGGAUAUA
rnacentral:lncRNA from 1 species